UACGAAGGGGGCUAGCGUUGCUCGGAAUCACUGGGCGUAAAGGGUGCGUAGGCGGGUCUUUAAGUCAGGGGUGAAAUGCCAAGGCUCAACCUUGGAACUGCCUCUGAUACUGGCGAUCUUCGAGUCCGGGAGAGGUGAGUGGAACUCCGAGUGUAGAGGUGAAAUUCGUAGAUAUUCGGAAGAACACCAGUGGCGAAGGCGGCUCACUGGCCCGGUACUGACGCUCAGGUGCGAAAGCGUGGGGAGCAAACAGG
rnacentral:rRNA from 1 species